AGCGAACGCUGGCGGCAGGCCUAACACAUGCAAGUCGAGCGGGCACCGCAAGGUGUCAGCGGCAGACGGGAGAGUAACACGUGGGAACGUGCCCUUUGGUUCGGAACAACUCCGGGAAACUGGAGCUAAUACCGGAUAACGCCCUUAACGGGGAAAGAUUUAUCGACCAAAGGAGCCGGCCCGCGUCCGAUUAGCUAGUUGGUGAGGUAU
rnacentral:rRNA from 1 species